UUUGUAUGAAAGGAUCCAAAUGAUAUGUGGGAUCUUAGGGUUAAAAAUUAGGGUAUGAUAGAUGCCCUUAUUUAAGUUUCUUCAAUUCAGAGAUAUGAAGAUUGAAAUCUUCGUCUCGACGAGAUGGAAGAGACUUAAAUACAGAAGACCCAAUUUUUGGUCCUAAGAUACCGCAAAAAUGGUCAUGAUAUGAUUGAAUGCAGACAAGGAUCUCUUUGAGGAAUAUAGCGCCACGAAAGACAAAUGACUACUAGAGAAACAAGGAGACUGAAAUUCUCUAGGGGAAUAAUAGAUUCUAAAGGGGAUAACCAACUGGGGACAAACAAAGUUCCAUAGAUGAAAGGGAAAGACUCGCAGACAACUACGACACGAAAUUGUUGGAGACAAAGGGAUGCUCUCCAGGAAAAUUAAUUACUGGGAAGCGACUAGACUCGAGAAUAACUAUUGUAUUAGAAAGCAACCAAUGCAUAGUUAUAAAACAAACGACCCAAAGACCCAACAGGGGAAGACUUAUCAAAGCAAGACUCUGACGGGGAAAAAAUCAAUCAAAGGGGAUACUCAACUCCACUAGGGGUAGAAAUUACCUAACUAUCAGCCAAGUGAUAACUUAACAAAGAUAAUAAGCUCAAAAG
rnacentral:lncRNA from 1 species